GGGCCCAUAGCUUAGCCUGGUUAGAGUGCUGGUCUUAUAAACCAGUGGUCCCGAGUUCAAAUCUCGGUGGGCCCA
rnacentral:tRNA from 1 species